GCCACGUAGGGCCAAAUCGGCCGCCAGACUCGCAAGCGACGCUUCGCAGUGCGCCUGCGGGCGCACGCCGGGAAAUGGCCGGGAGCGCGGCCGGCCUGGGCGGGCGCGCCACAACGCGGAACGGGCCUCAGAAGAGCCGCCGCGCGCGCUCCCGCUAAUUCGCGACCACACCCCUGUCUACUUCCAUGUCCAAUAGGUGCGAGAGGGCGGGACGGCCUCGUUCUGACUCCGGGAGGCUAUAUAAGGAGCUACUGGCCGUGCACCUCGGUCUUUUACGUCGGCCGUCGCGAUCGUUUGGUUGUGUGGUAGUUGAGUAGGAACAAUGGCCCUGUCUUCAGUGGCACAGCGGAGCAGGUCUGUGAAGAUGCAAAGAUACACGAAAAAAAUUCCAGAACAUCUGGGAGAAUAUUUAAUGGAAAAUCGCUUGGUUAAAACCUGACACUCUUCACAGCAUUCUGAGUGUGGACGAGUAGCCAGUGAAGAUAAUGAAUGUCGGAUGUCACUGACUAGCAGCUUCAUUUUGAAUGAGGGUCGCUGUCGGCCCAUUGACAGAGGCCAAAUUGUCUUGGAAGUUCCAAAGUUGCAACGAUUUCUGGCUAGUGCCACGAGGUUUACUUGACUGUUGUGUGAAAAGCUGAUGAGAGAACCAUCCAGAAAAAAGCUCUUCGUUUUACAAACAUGAAAAUAAAACAUGUAAUUUUGGAUUA